rnacentral:rRNA from 1 species
UACGGGGGGGGCAAGCGUUGUUCGGUAUUACUGGGCGUAAAGGGCUCGUAGGCGGCCAACUAAGUCAGACGUGAAAUCCCUCGGCUUAACCGGGGAACUGCGUCUGAUACUGGAUGGCUUGAGAUUGGGAGAGGGAUGCGGAAUUCCAGGUGUAGCGGUGAAAUGCGUAGAUAUCUGGAGGAACACCGGUGGCGAAGGCGGCAUCCUGGACCAACACUGACGCUGAGGAGCGAAAGCCAGGGGAGCAAACGGG